CAUAAUCAUUUGCCUUUUAAUUGGAGGCUUGUAUGAAUGGUUUGACGAGAGCUAAGCUGUCUCUUUUCUAAUAUUUAAAAAUUAACUUUUAGGUGAAGAGGCCUAAAUUUAUUUGAGGGACGAGAAGACCCUGUUGAGCUUUAAUGUUGUAGUAAAAUUUUAAUUAUGUGUAAUUUUUAAGUUGCUUUUAGUAAUGUGUAUUAUUUAUUAGGAUAAAAUAUUUUUUUAUUAUCAAUUUUUAGUUGGGGCGACUGAGGAAUAAAUAAAGCUUCCUUUAUUAAUUUAUGUAAAUGUAAUUGAUAAUGUUGGCGAAUUAAAAAGAUCCAGUAUUUAUUGAUUAAAGGAAGAAGUUACCACAGGGAUAACAGCGUAAUCUUUCUGGAGAGAUCUAAUCGAAAGGAGGGUUUGCGACCUCGAUGUUGGACUAAGAUAUCCUAAGGGUGUAGAAGCUCUUGAUGGUUGGUCUGUUCGACCAUUAAAAUCUUACGUGAUCUGAGU
rnacentral:rRNA from 1 species